GAUUUCAGCACCACGUACCAAGGGUCCUUGGAGGAGUCUUGCCCAUCCAUGUGGAAGGAAUUGGUCCUGCCUGUGGACACUGUAGUAGCCCAUGAAUCUGCUCCAGCUCUGCUCAGCUGGGCUCCAGAAGUCCCUAAAGAACACUGAUUCUGACAAUCACUCAUGGGGCCACACAGAUCUGAGUCAAGUCUGAGACUUACACCACAGCUCACAGCAACACGGGAUCCCUAACCCACUGAGCGAGGCCAGGGAUCGAACUUGCGUCCUCAUGCAUACAAGUCAGAUUCAUGUCCACUUAGCCACGACAGGAACUCCCUAAAUAUAUUUGUUAAUAAACCAAUGGUUCUCCAGACUUUUCAGCGUACUAAGUGCUAAAGCAAACAAGAGAUUCUUCUCAAAAUAUGUCGGUGGCUUGAGAGAUGUCAUUACCAAGUGGUGAUCUAUACAGAAGGGUGGAAAACAGAACUUGGAUAGGGAGCUGAGGAGAUUCCCAAACAAAACUCCUUUCUGCUCAUAGUAAAAUGCCUGAGGAAAGAAGAAAUUGAACCAGGAGGUAGUAGGCAAAAAGGAAACAGCAUUUGUUCAUUUGGAAGGAUCCAAGCCAAUUCAGAUUAAAAAGGAUGGAAAAAACACAAACAAGGAAAUUCAUUUUGGGAGAGUGUGCUGGGGUGAGAGGGCCAAGGGUGACUCCUGGAUCCACUCAACCAUCCCAGCAGAAACUGGGAGUUGAGAAGGAGUUACACAGGAAGCAUCAGUGAAGAACUCUUCUGUUUAAUAGUGUGGGUCUCCUUGACAUACACCAAAGACUGAUGAGGUUUUUGAGAAUGUUCCAUCAGCAGAAAUAUGGCCAUCUUGAACUGAGGGGAACAGAGACAGGAUGAAGUGAAGAGGCUGUUAAACCCCUGAGAUUCUGCAGCCAGGAAAUGGACUGAUAGAACUACUUGACUACAAGCAUGGGCUGCCCCUCGGGAAAAAGGAAGGACUCCAAAGACAGAGUUGUGGAUACAGAAGUAGAGCCCAGAGAGACAGGCUUAGAGCCAGGGGCCAACAAGGAUACCAUCAUGGACCCAAAGGGAAGGGCCUCAAGCCUCAGAGGAUCUUGCCAGCUUUGAAACCUAAUGGGAUUUUCCCUGUUGGGUUUAGAGUUGCUGUUGACCCCUUUCCAUCCCUAGAUGGAAAUGAGAAAGUCUAUUCUGUACCUGUACAAUUCAUCUAUCCUGGAGGAGACAAGUUGUUUUCUAGCUUCAUAGGUCCACAGAUGGGGCAGAAGUUUUCUAGAGCAUGGGAACAUACCCAGAGUCUCACCCAUGCCUCGUUUAGAUGAUUUAGGUGAUGAGAUUUGGGACUUUUUUGUGUUGAUGAUAUUUAGGUGAGAGUGGGCUUACAAUAAAUGCUGGAAUGGGUUAA
ensembl:lncRNA